rnacentral:sRNA from 1 species
UCGCUGGAUAGGUUACGGCUGAUCCCCGUGGCCGACAAGCCGGUUCCCGGCCGGCUUCCAGCGAUUUUCACCGGGG